rnacentral:rRNA from 1 species
CCUACGGGGCGCAGCAGUGGGGCAUAUUUCACAAUGGGGGAAACCCUGAUGCAGCGACGCCGCGUGAGUGAAGAAGUAUUUCGGUAUGUAAAGCUCUAUCAGCAGGGAAGAAGAAAGACGGUACCUGACUAAGAAGCCCCGGCUAACUACGUGCCAGCAGCCGCGGUAAUACGUAGGGGGCAAGCGUUAUCCGGAUUUACUUGGUGUAAAGGGAGCGUAGACGGCUGUGCAAGUCUGAAGUGAAAGCCCAGGGCUCAACCCUGGGACUGCUUUGGAAACUGUGGAGCUAGAGGGCUGGAGAGGUAAGUGGAAUUCCUAGUGUAGCGGUGAAAUGCGUAGAUAUUAGGAGGAACACCAGUGGCGAAGGCGGCUUACUGGACAGUAACUGACGUUGAGGCUCGAAAGCGUGGGGAGCAAACAGGAUUAGAUACCCCAGUAGUC